GAUUGUGGCAUCGUGAAUGUGAACAUACCGACGAAUGGAGCUGAGAUUGGCGGAGCUUUUGGAGGCGAGAAAGCGACUGGUGGUGGUCGUGAAGCUGGAAGCGACUCAUGGAAACAGUACAUGCGUCGGUCCACCUGUACGAUCAACUAUGGGAACGAGUUACCUCUAGCGCAAGGCAUCAACUUCGGUUAAGUUCUGAGAGACUUACCGGCCUAAUGUUAUGUUGUCUCGGAAUUCGAUCGGGUGCUUGUAUUGUAUGGGUUUAAACUUUAAAAAUGAUAAAUCGCAAUAAUAAUACUUAAAAUGUUAUUUCGAGUAUUAAUUUAAAGAUUAAUCGGAUUAAAGUAUAAGAUAAUGGUUAGUCCAGACUAAUCAUGGGUGUAAUAAAAAUCGUUUCCUGAUGUUAUCAGUCAUACCAUUUCAA